rnacentral:lncRNA from 1 species
CGGUACUUGUAGAUGAAUCUCUUUGUUGUAGCAAGAUGCCAAAUAAAAAAGAAAUUGAAAAAAAAUAAGAUCAAUGCAAAUACAGGAUUUACUUGAAAAAUCUUCUUAAUCAAAGAAAAAAAUCACGGACAAAAAUAGAUAGAGAUUUUUCACUAUCUUCAAUAUUGGAGAUUAUAAAAUACAAGUUAAAAAAAUCUUAAAAAAGCAUUUGUACUUCAAAGACAACAUAUCUCAUGUUUCGCUCAAC